GUUCCCUUAGCACAGUGGUUAGUGCGCUCGUCUUACUAACGAGAGAUCCUGGGUUCGAUCCCCAGAGGGGACA